UAGGAAAGUAGUGAAAAAAGAAAUCAAGGUAGGAGAUUUAGUCAUCAAAAAGAGAAAGAACUGGGAGAACCUUGGGAAGUUACAAGAAACUUGGGAAGGGCCCUAUGUUGUCACUCGAAGCAAUAGACCAGCAUCAUUUUACCUAGCAGAUCAGCUUGGAGCAUAGUUACCACAUUCUUGGAAUGUGCACAACUUGCGCAAAUACUACCCUUAGUCGCAACACUUGUAAAAACCCCCAGCUUGUCAAUCUAUAAACAACAUCGAGGGUAGAAAAUUUAAUUUCUCGCAUUUAGUAUCCUGCAAACGGACCAUACUCUUUUCCUUGCUAGGGGGGCUCCACACUGGAGGUAAGGUUUUUAACAAGGCGGAUCCAUGUAAACCUUUACAUUUUAAUGAAGUACAAUUCCCCC
rnacentral:lncRNA from 1 species